GACGAACGCUGGCGGCGUGCCUAAUACAUGCAAGUUGAGCGCUGAAGGUUGGUACUUGUACCAACUGGAUGAGCAGCGAACGGGUGAGUAACGCGUGGGGAAUCUGCCUUUGAGCGGGGGACAACAUUUGGAAACGAAUGCUAAUACCGCAUAAAAACUUUAAACACAAGUUUUAAGUUUGAAAGAUGCAAUUGCAUCACUCAAAGAUGAUCCCGCGUUGUAUUAGCUAGUUGGUGAGGUAAAGGCUCACCAAGGCGAUGAUACAUAGCCGACCUGAGAGGGUGAUCGGCCACAUUGGGACUGGGACACGGCCCAAACUCCUACGGGAGGCAGCAGUAGGGAAUCUUCGGCAAUGGACGAAAGUCUGACCGAGCAACGCCGCGUGAGUGAAGAAGGUUUUCGGAUCGUAAAACUCUGUUGAUAGAGAAGAACGUUAGUGAGAGUGGAAAGCUCAUCAAGUGACGGUAACUACCCAGAAAGGGACGGCUAACUACGUG
rnacentral:rRNA from 1 species